rnacentral:rRNA from 1 species
GUCUACCUACGGGGGGCAGCAGUAGGGAAUUUUCGGCAAUGGGGGGAAACCCUGAAGCAGCAACGCCGCGUGGAGGAUGAAGGUUUUCGGAUUGUAAACUCCUUUUGUUAGAGAAGAUAAUGACGGUAUCUAACGAAUAAGCACCGGCUAACUCCGUGCCAGCAGCCGCGGUAAUACGGAGGGUGCAAGCGUUACUCGGAAUCACUGGGCGUAAAGAGCGCGUAGGCGGGAUAGCAAGUCAGAUGUGAAAUCCUAUGGCUUAACCAUAGAACUGCAUUUGAAACUGUUAUUCUAGAGUAUGGGAG